rnacentral:rRNA from 1 species
GCGACCCCAGGUCAGGCGGGACUACCCGCUGAGUUUAAGCAUAUAAAUAAGCGGAGGAGAAGAAACUUACAAGGAUUCCCCUAGUAACGGCGAGC